GGGGUAGUCUUGCAUAAAGUGUGGCGGCAGGCGGCAUCAUGUGAUGGUGAAUGCUAGCACAGAACAUUACUGUGAUUUGUACUAAAGUCUUCACUCCAAAGAGUCUCUCUCUCCCUCCCUUUUCUCUCUCUCUCUCUCUCUCUCUCUCACACACACACACACACACACACACACUCAGCUUUGACCUGAGAAUGUUCCCUCAGGCCAAAGCAGUGUCACGCAUGUCACAUUAGCUGUCAAAGAAGCUCUCUGUCCUGUGAUCUCUCACCACCCGUCCUCGACUCAUCCCUUCAUUUUUCCUCCCUGCCUUGACUUCUCCUUCUUUUUCUGCCUGUUUUUUCCCUGUUUUUAUACCUCCUCACUAACCUUGUUUUCCUGCCCUUUCUUUCUGCAUUCCUAUCCCCACUCCUCCCUAUAACCCCUCUGCCUCUGUUCCUCCAUUACACUUUCAAACAAUUCAAUGUGGUUUGACAUUAAAUCAAACCCACCGGCGCUGAGAGCAUACCUAAGUGAAAUAAAUCACAUUCUGUACAUUCCUGCCUAAACUGUCUCAUUUUCUACGCCCAACUCCAAACUGAUGGAUCUGCUUGUGAAAACUGGCAUCAGCCCUCCACUGAUGUGAUGGAUUAUCCUCCGUAAUCACAGCUAUGCAAAAAUCAGUCAUAGAAAGUUGCAAAGAGAGCUCAUGUUUUUCAGGGAGCUACUUACUGAGGUGUCGAUUAAUCAAAGUGUAAUAAGCUCAGGAUCAAUUCAGAAUCUCACAUUUUGCUGUAUAAAUUGUGUGUUUGGAAUUAAAAACAUUUAUUGGCACAGACAGCCAAGAUUUAUGGUGGUUUGUGAAGCAUUUGGGAACUGUCGUAAUCCAUCAUGUGUUCAUGCUAACGCUGUACAGAUUUAGUGACUUGCAAUAAAGAAACAAUUCAACACUUAUGGAAAAACACUUAUUUGUUCUUUAGAAAAUUCAUUUCAUGUGCAGGUUCAUACCACUGUGUUGUUUGUGUUAGCAACAAGUUCCCAUUUCCAACUUACACAACAAAGCAACAUCACUUUAGACUAACUCUAAGAAUCUAGGAACUGCUCUUGCAUCAGUUUGAACAAGCUUACAAGCCAUUUACAAUUUCUUAGUUGUGGUUGUCUGCAGGCAGUUAACUUUGUGUAAUAGCUACAUGCGAGAACUUUGACCCACCUCCCAAAUGAAGGUCCUGGGAGUAUCCAAACAUCCAUCACCCAAACCCACCAUCAAUAGUGAACUUUGGUGUUCUUUGUAUCAACAAACUAAACAAGAGUCAAAACCAAAUCUUUUGACUGUUUUCAAAGGUCAUCAAAUUGGCCUACUAACACUUUGCAGUUCAUGGUAACACUCACAUAACCCAUAUGUAAACAAAAGAUAGUGGGUUUCAAUUUUUACAGAGGAUCUUUUUUUUCUGUAACGCAAAAGGACUGAUUUUUUUUCUGUCUCUUUCAAAGUGUUUAGACAUAAAAUCUCAUCAGUGCACUGACAGCACUGUUGCAUCCAAAAAUAGUGUAAAAACAACUGUACAAACACAUUAUAAUUUUGAUAAUAGAACUGUAAUUAUUUUAUGCUGUAUGAAUUUGUCGAAUAAGCAGAAGCUCCAUUAACACAUACUCAGACCUGCAGACACACACAGUGCUGUCCCGCCCUGCUGGCUCUGGCAUUACCCAUCGCCACCACCCCCCACACUCUUCCUCUGUUACUACCACACCAAAGAUCACAACUCUUUCUAUGUGUAACACAAUGCAGACAAGUUGUAACAAAGGUCUAAAUAGUCUGUCCAGACCUGGUAAUUUGUACAAUGGUGCACAGUAUUAUGCAUGAACAUGCUUAAAUGAUCGCAUUUAUGCGUGAACAAGCUAAUAUCGUGGUGAAUCGUGAACUUAGCAGCUAAUUUUGAAUUUUGAAUUUUAAUGAAUGAGAACGUUAGCUCACUCUAGAGAAGGUAAACAGCCGCUCACUUUCUGGGAGGAUCUGAGAGUUGGUAAGUUACCAAGCAUAAUGUGUUUCGACGGCCAAGGUCAGAUGUACGUUCUAAGUUGUGCCAAUGAAGCCAAUUCUAUUGAACAUCUAAAGAUUUUUUUUUCUUUUUUAACAAAUCAGUACAGAUCCCACUGGGUUACUGACCCAUAUGAUUUCAGAGAGGUGCUUUCUUUAGAGACUGGAGAGUAAUUCACUUUUGUGUUCGGUUGGUGUUUCUUUAUCCCAAACCCUUUUAUUUUAGAGGAUGUAAAAAUCAUCUUUCCUACGUCAUCAGCCACAGAACUGAUUUUUUCUAGGUUAAAGUUUGGAAAGUGUCAGUAAUUGGGGAAUAGAAAGUGAAGUUUAGACGGUUCUGCUGACGGAUAAUUUAGGUGUAGCCAAAAUAAAGUGAAUUUGAACUGGUCUGUUAUUUAGACCAUGAACUUUAAAAUCCAAAAUUUAAAAAAAAACUAUUGAUGUGGACUACUUUGUUAGGAUCUGUCGGAGCUGAACUUUGAGCUAACUUUUAAUAUGAACUUGCAUAACUCUAAUUAUUCCAUUUGAUCCAGGAAGUUGGAAACCCUUGUGGGGAACAUCACCUGGACUAGCCCAUGCAGUCUGAAUUUCUACUUUCAAUUUCACCCAUUCCAAGCUUGAAAUAUAAGAUGGUGGCUCCUGUUUCAACAGUCAAGUAGCAGUACUUUUGAUAGUGUUUAAUUGCAACAUAGUCUAAUUUUGUGUAAAAGAAUUGAUCGUACCAAAGUAUUGUGCAUGUUAUCAUGUUGCUUUUACACAUACAGUUCCUGACUACUCUGUGUUGUUACUGCUUGGUAUUAGCCAACAGUGCUAACAACAACAGGAGAUAAUAGAUACACAACUUUUGGUCUUGUAUCUGAAACAUGGCCAGCUCAAAUGUUAAAUCAUUCCUGACCCUGACAUCUGACUCCCUAAGUGAGUUGACCACAUCACGAUCCACACCAAGUCUUUCCAAACACAACACACAAAUGUGCAGGGCUGGAUGAGGACAUUGUAAGUUUUGGGAUUGGGGUGUGAACAAAGCCGGUCUGAACUUUUUCUGCUCCAAACAUUCUUUACUGUUUUUCUAUCCUUGCAGUCCACCUUUGAACACGUUCCUGCGACAUGUGCAGCAAACACGUGCCAGCUUACGGCACUCAAAAACCAUUAGCAGAAGUUUUCUUAACUUUAAAACAUUUGAGAUGCAGUAAUCCUUUUCUCAACCUUUUGGUGCAUACUGAAGUAUUUAUGGAAGCCAACAGCACUGUUUGAGGCGCAAGUAUGCAAAUUUAUGACACAUUAGCUUUCUGUGCUAUCAAAGACUUUCUCUUACCUGUUUGACUGCCAUUCCUAUCUUUUGAUCUCAUUUAAAAACACAGCUUCUGACAGAAAUACAAAAAUGAAAACCACAUGCGCAUAUCUUGAUGUUCAGGGCUUGGUUUUUCUUAAUGUUACAAUAUUUAUUUUGGAUUGAUAGCACAAGCAGAACAGCUUUCAGUCUGGCAUUGCUUCGACUAACAUUUGGAAAGAACAAAGAAAAUAUGCUUUCAUUAUGAGAGAGAGAGUGAGAGCCAGAGAGAGCUAGAGAGCGAGAGAGUAUGUGUGGUUCAGUCAUGGAUAUACUUCAAGGAGAAAUGUUGAACCAAACUCAAAUUGAGAUGUCACGUGUGCUACGAGAACAAAAAAUGAAAGUAUGUGAGUUUAAGUUGGCACCAAGGUUUUUCAAUUUAAUUUCACACUUUCAGGACUAGUUGAUGAAUGACACAAAAAUGAUACUCAUCGCUCAUUUUUUCACACAUGCUAUGAACACAUGGACAGAGACGCACAUCUUUCUUGGUGGAGGAGGUUUGGGUGAAGCAGGAGGUGGGCAUACUUCACUGAGCAGAAAGAACUUACCAAACCUAUAAAUAUAGACAUGAUGGCUUUUUUUUUCAUCCAUUUUUACUCUCAGAGGACAUUUCGACUUUGUGUCUCAAUCCUACACUGUUAUCUAAACUCCUCUGUUUUACCCCAGUGUGACGGCAAGUCUAUUGGGUCCAGAGUACAAGAAGGCAA